rnacentral:rRNA from 1 species
GUGGGGAAUUUUGGACAAUGGGCGCAAGCCUGAUCCAGCCAUGCCGCGUGCAGGAUGAAGGCCUUCGGGUUGUAAACUGCUUUUGUACGGAACGAAACGGCUCUUUCUAAUAAAGAGGGCUAAUGACGGUACCGUAAGAAUAAGCACCGGCUAACUACGUGCCAGCAGCCGCGGUAAUACGUAGGGUGCAAGCGUUAAUCGGAAUUACUGGGCGUAAAGCGUGCGCAGGCGGUUUUGUAAGACAGGCGUGAAAUCCCCGGGCUCAACCUGGGGAGUGCGUUUGUGACUGCAAGGCUGGAGUGCGGCAGAGGGGUAUGGAAUUCCGCGUGUAGCAGUGAAAUGCGUAGAUAUGCGGAGGAACACCGAUGGCGAAGGCAAUCCCCUGGGCCUGCACUGACGCUCAUGCACGAAAGCGUGGGGAGCAAACAGGAUUAGAUACCACUGUAGUCC